UGGAUGCUGAAAAGAGCCUGGAGCCGGAAAAAAAAAAUCAACCAGUAAUCCCUUACUUUGUGUGAGCGGCAAACAGAAAUUUGUCUCCCACAAUGAUUUCCCCGAGAUCGGCAAUGGAGUGGAAAACAAGGAAGCGAGGGAGUGAAAGACAGCAAGAAAGGGAGGGGAGGAUGAGAGAAAGAGAGAGAGAGAGAGGGGUGGUGAUGAAGAGUAAGAACAGCAGAGGCAGGGAGACAGCGGGAGCAGCUAGAGUGUGACAGAGAGAGACGGAGAAAGGCAGCCGCCACCGCCAAGCCACAGGGACGCUGACACUCGCUUGGAGGAUUUGAAGUGAAGAAGAGAGGAGAGCGACAGAGGGAGGGAUCAGGUGGGGGGAGGGAAGACUGGUUCACUCUGUGGUUCAAACCCUGGGAUAACGCAGAGAUAACCCUCAUCUACAAGCAGCAGCUGUAGACGUGAGAAGGAAAUGAAUCCCAAGAGAAAAAGAGAGAGAGACUUCCCUAUCAUUUGUGACAUUUGCUGCACAUGAUAACAAUGGCCAUCUGUAGCAACAAGCCAAAGAAAAGGAGAGGAGGGUGAGUGCUCUACUAGGAUGUCCUUCAUAUAAACAUUACCUUCAUGGACGUUCUUAGGCGAAAUGACAAAAAAAGUAUCUAUAUCAGCUGAUGGUGCAGGGAAAAGCACCUGUUUGAGUCAAGCACUGCAAGAGAGAACAACAGAUCCACUCAGGAGAGGGGGAGGAGACACAAAGAGACGGAGACAAAGAAAACACAGGCCAGAGACGUGUGGCUUUUAUUUGACUACUUUUAUCAUUCUGCCUUGUCAUGCUAAGAACAAAUUUGCAUGGGUCUGUGUGUUUGAAGAAAAGAAAGAAAGACACAACAACAACAGUGAUUUUCUUCCUUAGUGAAGUUUGGAGAAGUUUUUGACCCCACCUACCAUUCUCUUCAUUGAAAGUACUCCUCCAGCUUUGACUCAACUUGUUUUAAGCUUUUAAUUACUACUUGUGAAUCAGAUAUGUUUGUUUUGAAAAGUUUGAGAAGGCCACUCACUGUGAAUUUGUGCUAUGAACAUCAUCUGAACUGAAAACUAAAAUCAUUACUGAU